CAGUCGCCGCGGGAAUACGAAGGGGGCUAGCGUUGUUCGGAUUAACUGGGCGUAAAGGGCGCGUAGGCGGGUUUUUAAGUCAGAGGUGAAAUCCCAAGGCUCAACCUUGGAACUGCCUUUGAUACUGGAAGUCUUGAGUCCGGGAGAGGUGAGUGGAACUGCGAGUGUAGAGGUGAAAUUCGUAGAUAUUCGCAAGAACACCAGUGGCGAAGGCGGCUCACUGGCCCGGUACUGAUGCUGAGGCGCGAAAGCGUGGGGAGCAAACAGGAUUAGAUACCCCAGUAGUCCCUGUCUCUUAUAC
rnacentral:rRNA from 1 species